UACGUAGGUGACCAGCGUUGUCCGGAUUUACUGGGCGUAAAGAGCGCGCAGGCGGUCGUUCAAGUCGAGUGUGAAAGCCCCCGGCUCAACUGGGGAGGGUCAUUCGAUACUGAUCGACUUGAAGGCAGGAGAGGGAAGCGGAAUUCCCGGUGUAGUGGUGAAAUGCGUUGAUAUCCACAGGAACUCCGGUGGCGAAGGCGGCACGCUGGACCUCUCUGACCGCUGACGGCGCGAAAGCCAGGGGAG
rnacentral:rRNA from 1 species